UAGAGAAUGUGUAGACAACAUGGUUAUAAUUUUUGCAGCAACCAUGUUCAUGUACUUUGAGAAAAGGUCGACUGGAUCCAUAAAGCGGAUUAUAUUCAGUCCAAUGUUUGCGACCCAUUUUUUGAACGACAAUAAAAAAAGAAUUGCCAAAAGACAUGUGUGGCAACUUAGUGAUUACCAGGCUUAUUUCCGAAAUGAUCUAGUGAGAGUGGAAGAUUUAUUGAAUGCUGAUUGGGUAAGAUUACUGAACUUUUUAAUUAGGUAGUACUUAAUUUAAUAUGAAACUCUUAUUUUGACUUAUUAGAAAUAAAUUUUGUAGGUGUUCAUCCCAGUUGUUAGUAGUGGUCACUGGUGGUGCUAUGCACU